GAUGAACGCUGGCGGCGUGCUUAACACAUGCAAGUCGAACGAGAAAUGGAGACUCCAACCUUCGAGCGGAAGGCUUCAUUUCGAGUGGCGCACGUGUGAGUAACACGUGGGUAACCUGCCUCAUACAGUGGGCUAUCAGCUGGAAACGACUGUUAAUACCGCAUACGACCACAGCCCCGCAUGUUGCGGGCGUAAAAACUACGGUGGUAUGGGCUGGACCCGCGUUCGAUUAGCCAGUUGGCGGGGUAACGGCCCACAAAAGCGACGAUCGAUAGCCGAUCUGAGAGGAUGACCGGCCACAGUGGGACGGAGACACGGCCAAAACUCCUACGGGAGGAAGCAGUGGGGAAUAUUGCACAAUGGGGAAAACCCUGAGGCAGAGACGCCGGGGGAGUGAAGAAGUAAUGCGGUAUGUAAAGCUCUAUCAGCAGGGAAGAAAAUGACGGUACCUGAGUAAGAAGCCCCGGCUAACUACGUG
rnacentral:rRNA from 1 species